rnacentral:misc_RNA from 1 species
CGUAGGUGAACCUGCGGAAGGAUCAUUCAUAAUAAGUGUUUUAUGGCACUUUUUUAAACCCAUAUCCACCUUGUGUGGAAUGUCAGGGUUGAUUUUUCUCUCGAGAGGAUCAGCCCCAAACAUCAACUAUAUCUCAACUCUUUGUCUGAAAAAUAUUAUUAAUAAAACAAUUCAAAAUACAACUUUCAACAACGGAUCUCUUGGCUCUC